CUCUUAUCCUAAUUCCAAUUUUUUUUUUUUUGGUCAAUCAAAGUUCAUUAAGACCCAAAAAAAUGGGAAGAAAAUAAACAUAGAAUACAAGGCCAAAAAUACCAAAUGCAGAAACAAAGUACCACAAGCACAUGGAAGAUUAAACUAAGACCCAGUACAGUUUAGUAUAACAAAUCUUCCCCACACAAAAUCAAAACAAAAUAUCAAACCAAGCCACCGUCGCCACAAAGGGACCGAAGACCGCACCAACCGCACCGAUAAGGCCACAAAGGAGGGGAUUCACAUCCUCUACACAAGUUAGCAUAGCACAUAGAGACCCAUAGAUCUUACGCCAAGAACAAAAUUUCCACAAAAAACAGAAACACAUCAACACAAGAACAUUCCUCCAAAAGUCACUUUCUACUUCACACCCGAGUCCGCUUGUGCAACAAGAAGAAAACAGCAACCAAUCACAACACCAGCAGGGUAUAUACCAAAGGAUCGAAAUCAAGGGAGUGGAGAGUAUUGGUGCAAGCACUAGAGCUAGCAAGAGCUCUAUAUACAAUCCGAUAAAGAAGCGACAAAGCGCUUAGAGAAGUUGUUGCUAUAUCCCAAUGGAGAAACCAGAUCUGGAAAAAGGAGAAAGCAAGAGUAGGAGGGGAUGUUGUGGGAGAAGUAAAUCUGGUUGAAGGGAGCGUUUGACGAAGAAAGGAGGACACAAAAUCAACUUGAGACAUAUAAUCUCAGCCUAGAGCAUAAGGCUCAAGCAAUCACCAGGAGUAGCAGUCAACUCUCAGAGACAACCACCAAUUCUCAGAGGAAGCUACCAACUCUCAGAGACAGCCACCAACACAGUCAAACAAGCUCAAACACAAAAUAAGACCAGCCCCACAAAAGAAUCCAAGGCAGGUGAAGUUGAGAACUAGUAGAAACGAAGGAGAAAAAGGGUGGGGGGAGGGGAGGGAGAAGAGGGACAGACCUCCUCUUCCCCAAAUAGAGCAGUGCGGCGCUGAGAAGAAAAUGGGCCGAGAGCGCGAGGGGGGUAGGGGGUGUGGGCAUGUUAGGAUUUAAGAGCGAGAGGUGCUAGGUUAACUUCAAUAGGAAUUCGGAAUCUAACUCUCCUAAAUUCAUAUGGUUUAGUAAACAACUUCAAUAGGAAUUCGGAAUCUAAUUCUGCUCAAUCCAAC
rnacentral:lncRNA from 1 species